GAUGAACGCUAGCUACAGGCUUAACACAUGCAAGUCGAGGGACCGGCGCACGGGUGAGUAACACGUAUCCAACCUGCCCUUUACUCGGGGAUAGCCUUUCGAAAGAAAGAUUAAUACCCGAUAUAAAGGAUGGGGAUGCGUUGCAUUAGGUUGUUGGUGAGGUAACGGCGCACCAAGCCUUCGAUGGAUAGGGGUUCUGAGAGGAAGGUCCCCGAGAUUGGAAAUACGGCACGGUCCAAACUCCUACGCGGGGGAGCAGUGAGGGAGAUUGGUGAAUGGGCGCUAGCCGGAACCAGCCAAGUAGCGGGAAGGAUGAAGGCGUAUGGGUCGUAUACUUCUAUUAUAUAAGAAACGGUAGUAUAUGAAUAAGGAACGGCUAACUCCGUGCCAGCAGCCGCGGUAAUUC
rnacentral:rRNA from 1 species